UACAGAGGGGCGAGCGUUGUUCGGAAUUACUGGGCGUAAAGGGCGCGUAGGCGGCCAACUAAGUCAGACGUGAAAUCCCUCGGCUCAACCGGGGAACUGCGUCUGAUACUGGAUGGCUUGAAUUCGGGAGAGGGAUGCGGAAUUCCAGGUGUAGCGGUGAAAUGCGUAGAUAUCUGGAGGAACACCGGUGGCGAAGGCGGCAUCCUGGACCGAGAUUGACGCUGAUGGCGCGAAAAGCCAGGGGGAGCCAA
rnacentral:rRNA from 1 species